UCGGAUGUAGUAGUAUUAUUAUAGUCGGAUGUAGUAGUAUUAUUAUAGUCGGAUGUAGUAGUAUUAUUAUAGUCGGAUGUAGUAGUAUUAUUAUAGUCAGAUGUAGUAGUAUUAUUAUAGUCGGAUGUAGUAGUAUUAUUAUAGUCGGAUGUAGUAGUAUUAUUAUAGUCGGAUGUAGUAGUAUUAUUAUAGUCUGACUAAAAGUCUGACUAACAAUAAUACGUCUAUCUGUCUGCGGUUGUCUAUCAACAGCUUAGAAACAUGUUAUACAGGACUUGUAGCACACCAAAAUAUUUGAAGAUAAAGAAAGUAACCCCCACUACCACCCCCUCGUCCCUUCUCACACGUUUAAAAUGCUUUCAAGCCAGAACUGAAAAUGAAGUAAUGGAUGUAUCUCAAUACUCUACAUUGGCCUCCUUUACUUGUCUCCUGCUUUCCUUUUCUACACCCAGCUUGAUCCGACACUAGUAGGAUAGGUUCUAGCCAUUGAGAGGAAGCCACUGUGAAGUAUUGAACUAGGCUUGGGCGGUAUCCAGAUUGUCCUACCUUCAUACAAACCUUAAGCCAUACCAGGAUAUUCGAUAAUACCGCCACCCAAGGAGCGCUAUUUUCAAACCCAACUCUGCCUCUGUAAUCCGAAGGUUAGCAAUGCUAGCAAGUACAUGUAAAAACCCAUAUAGAAUGCUAACUAAAUACUAAAGUUAUACAAAUAACUAAAAAAUGCUAGUUACAGUUUGUUGCACGCACAAAACAAAUCUUAGCAAGGAUCUUGAUCCAGGAAGGGAUUUUCUGCUGUUACCAAGCAAAGCUUUAUUUUGGAAGAAGUUAACCACUUAGCUCAUUAACUAGCUACUAAAUUAGCAAACCAAAGCAUUUGCCACAUUUUAGACCGUUAACUUAAUAGUUAUAAGAUAUCUCGCUGGCAAACAUUUAGUUGUAAAUGACAUGCUGUAACUAGAUCACCUGGCUUGUGCUGAACAACAGUGAGUGACUCACAAGGCUCUGUUCUCUCGUCAUUGUGUCACCAUGUGGCUAGGGACGACCGAAAAGCAUCAUAAUGAAAAAUAUUAUGUGACAGGUGAAAUGAAGAUCACAUUUGUCUUUAUCUCUUAACGUAUUGCACAAGUUGACUUGAGGGAUUUACUUAAAAAGUAGCUACAGAUAUUCACAUUUAUUUAAAAAAUAAUAAUAAUAAUAAUAAUUAAUAGAAAUAGUAUUGAAAAACCAUCCCGUGGCUAUUUCCAAAUAACACAUUAUACGGUAUACCAGGCCUAACUGGGACACAGUGUGCCCUACUGACCUAGUACGGCACACUAGGUCAUAAAUGCGGAAUACACAUUUUGGUUGAAUGCAUUGAGUUGUGCAACUGACUAGGUAUCCCCUUUCCCUGUGGUACUGCUUGGCCACUUGAUCUAAUUUCCCAUUGGUAAUGCUAGGUUAGUUGUCUAUCUCUAGAUGGUUGAAUUCUAUUGUGUAUGAUGUAUUUUUUCUGUGAUAUUGAGUUCUGCUGGAAGGUCAUCAUGAAGCUUCUGAAUGUCUGCUGCUACAGUGCCUUGCGAAAGUAUUCGGCCCCCUUGAACUUUGCGACCUUUUGCCACAUUUCAGGCUUCAAACAUAAAGAUAUAAAACUGUAUUUUUUUGUGAAGAAUCAACAACAAGUGGGACACAAUCAUGAGGGGCUUGGGAAAUCUUUUUGUAUCCAAAUCCGGCUUUAAACUUCUUCACAACAGUAUCUCGGACCUGCCUGGUGUGUUCCUUGUUCUUCAUGAUGCUCUCUGCGCUUUUAACGGACCUCUGAGACUAUCACAGUGCAGGUGCAUUUAUACGGAGACUUGAUUACACACAGGUGGAUUGUAUUUAUCAUCAUUAGUCAUUUAGGUCAAUAUUGGAUCAUUCAGAGAUCCUCACUGAACUUCUGGAGAGAGUUUGCUGCACUGAAAGUAAAGGGGCUGAAUAAUUUUGCACGCCCAAUUUUUCAGUUUUUGAUUUGUUAAAAAAGUUUGAAAUAUCCAAUAAAUGUCGUUCCACUUCAUGAUUGUGUCCCACUUGUUGUUGAUUCUUCACAAAAAAAUACAGUUUUAUAUCUUUAUGUUUGAAGCCUGAAAUGUGGCAAAAGGUCGCAAAGUUCAAGGGGGCCGAAUACUUUCGCAAGGCACUGUAUUCCCAUUAACCCUGAGGAGCUACGGGACAGACACUGUUCAUUCCACUAUUCCCAUUAACCCUGAGGAGCUACGGGACAGACACUGUUCAUUCCACUGCAUCUGCUGGAGAGAUUUGGGUGACCCAUACAUUCUGAGGGGGUUGGGACUUGGGUGGCAUAAUUCGUUUUAAUUUGAAUGGUAUUAGUUUGUAUUGUUAUGUGUCUGGAAGAGUGCUGGUUAAUGAGUUACAAUGACUCUAUGGGCUGUGAAACACACACAGACUGGGGUGUAACACUGCCUACUGUGAUGACACCACAGCGUCUUGCAUAUCUGUACAAUACAAUAACCCCUACAUCUUCAUUCCUUUUGUUUUUUAAUGUAAUUUAUUUGAGGUGUAAAUAUUGAUCUGUAAUGAUGUACUAUACUCUGGCAUUGACAAACGGAACUACUGUAAUGUUUCUCUGAGCUAAUAAAAUUAUUUUAAAGGAUAUCUGUA
ensembl:lncRNA